GACGGAGCCAUGAAGCCGACUCCACAGAAUGGGAGUCACAUUUGUGUCAAUCAGACUCUACAGGAACAUUCUUAUGUCCGUGUUGAGGACAGAGAUGCAACUGUGUGCGACUGCACCCAGGAUCUACUGCCAGUCAUCCAGAUGUAGCUAAAGAAAGAAGCAGCUAAUGGAGGAAGGCAGAGAGUACUGGCAGCAGAGGAGGUGGCAUUCUGGGAGGAUGGCAGCUAUGAGGCGGUGUCAGGAUGGACUCCAAGUUCCUCCAACCAGGAGCUCAGUGACGUCAGGUCUACAAGACAGGAAGAGACGUCAGCUCUAUGCUACAGGAGAGAUGUUGGGCCUGUCCUGAACGCAGCAUAAUGUUUGAUCAUGUUUGGACAAAAAAACACUGCCAGAUAGUCCAGAAAUGGACAAGCGUUUAUGUCUUAUUUUGUGU